rnacentral:rRNA from 1 species
GAUGAACGCUGGCGGCGUGCCUAAUACAUGCAAGUCGAGCGAACGGACGAGAAGCUUGCUUCUCUGAUGUUAGCGGCGGACGGGUGAGUAACACGUGGAUAACCUACCUAUAAGACUGGGAUAACUUCGAGAAACCGGAGCUAAUACCGGAUGAUAUUUUGAACCGCAUGGUUCAAAAGUGAAAGACGGUCUUGCUGUCACUUAUAGAUGGAUCCGCGCUGCAUUAGCUAGUUGGUAAGGUAACGGCUUACCAAGGCAACGAUGCAUAGCCGACCUGAGAGGGUGAUCGGCCACACUGGAACUGAGACACGGUCCAGACUCCUACGGGAGGCAGCAGUAGGGAAUCUUCCGCAAUGGGCGAAAGCCUGACGGAGCAACGCCGCGUGAGUGAUGAAGGUCUUCGGAUCGUAAAACUCUGUUAUUAGGGAAGAACAUAUGUGUAAGUAACUGUGCACAUCUUGACGGUACCUAAUCAGAAAGCCACGGCUAACUACGUG